GACGACCGCUGGCAGCGUGCCUAAUACAUGCACGUAGGACGCAGUUGCGAACGGGUGAGUAACGCGUAGGUAACUACCUAUUAGAGGGGGAUAAAUAUUGAAAACGAUAGCUAAGACAGCAUACUAGUAGAUGGACCUGCGUUGUAUUAGCUAGUAGGUAGGGUAAUGGCCUACCUAGGCAACAAUACAUAGACGACCUGAGAGGGGGAUCGGCCACACUGGGACUGAGACACGGCCCAGAAGCCUACGUGAGGCAGCAGUAGGGAAUCUGCCGCAAUGGGGGGAGCCCUGACCUAGCAACGCGGCGUGAGUGAAGAAGGUUUUCGGAGCGUAAAGCUCUGUUGUUAAGGAAGCGGUACUUAACCAGAAAGGGACGGCUAACUACGUGCCAGCAGCCGCGGUAAUAC
rnacentral:rRNA from 1 species